GACGAACGCUGGCGGCGUGCCUAAUACAUGCAAGUUGAGCGAUGAAGAUUGGUGCUUGCACCAAUUUGAAGAGCAGCGAACGGGUGAGUAACGCGUGGGGAAUCUGCCUUUGAGCGGGGGACAACAUUUGGAAACGAAUGCUAAUACCGCAUAAUAACUUUAAACAUAAGUUUUAAGUUUGAAAGAUGCAAUUGCAUCACUCAAAGAUGAUCCCGCGUUGUAUUAGCUAGUUGGUGAGGUAAAGGCUCACCAAGGCGAUGAUACAUAGCCGACCUGAGAGGGUGAUCGGCCACAUUGGGACUGAGACACGGCCCAAACUCCUACGGGAGGAAGCAGUAGGGAAUCUUCGGCAAUGGACGAAAGUCUGACCGAGCAACGCCGCGUGAGUGAAGAAGGUUUUCGGAUCGUAAAACUCUGUUGGUAGAGAAGAACGUUGGUGAGAGUGGAAAGCUCAUCAAGUGACGGUAACUACCCAGAAAGGGACGGCUAACUACGUG
rnacentral:rRNA from 1 species